GAUGAACGCUAGCGGCAGGCCUAAUACAUGCAAGUCGAGGGAGAAUGUUGGAUUCGUCUGACAUGAAACCGGCGCACGGGUGCGUAACACGUAUGCAACCUACCUUUAACUGGGGUAUAGCUCAGAGAAAUCUGAAUUAAUCCCCCAUAAGACUACGACAUGGCAUCAUGAUGUAGUUAAAGCUCCGGCGGUUAAGGAUGGGCAUGCGGUACAUUAGCUAGUUGGUGAGGUAAUGGCUCACCAAGGCUACGAUGUAUAGGGGGUCUGAGAGGAGGAUCCCCCACACUGGUAAUGAGACACGGGCCAGACUCCUACGGGAGGCAGCAGUAGGGAAUAUUGGUCAAUGGACGCAAGUCUGAACCAGCCAUGCCGCGUGAAGGAUGAAGGCCCUAUGGGUCGUAAACUUCUUUUAUUAGGGAAGAAAAAACGGGAUGCGUCCUGCACUGACGGUACUUAAUGAAUAAGGAUCGGCUAACUUCGUGCCAGCCGCCGCGGUAA
rnacentral:rRNA from 1 species